CUGCUAUCGGGGUUCGAUUAAGCCAUGCGAGUCGAGAGGUGCAAGACCUCGGCGCACUGCUCAGUAACACGUGGAUAACCUACCCUCAGGAGGGGGAUAACCCCGGGAAACUGGGGAUAAUACCCCAUAGACCAGAGACGCUGGAAUGCCCCCUGGUUCAAAGGUCCGCCGCCUGAGGAUGGGUCUGCGGCCGAUUAGGUUGUUGUUGGGGUAACGGCCCAACAAGCCUUUGAUCGGUACGGGUUGUGAGAGCAAGAGCCCGGAGAUGGAUUCUGAGACACGAAUCCAGGCCCUACGGGGCGCAGCAGGCGCGAAAACUUUACAAUGCGAGAAAUCGUGAUAAGGGAACCCCGAGUGCCCGUAAAUUCGGGCUGUCCAUCAGUGUAAAAAGCUGGUGAAGAAAGGGCCGGGCAAGACCGGUGCCAGCCGCCGCGGUAAUACCGGCGGCUCGAGUGGUGGCCACUAUUACUGGGCUUAAAGCGUCCGUAGCUUGAUUGUUAAGUCUCUUGGGAAAUCCAC
rnacentral:rRNA from 1 species